rnacentral:misc_RNA from 1 species
UACGGGUGGUUGGCUCUUUGCUUGCGCAACAACUUCCACCUGGCAUACCUCUUCAGUCUUGUGUCAAUGCUUGUAUCGCAUUGAACGCAUAGUGGGUUUCCUGUGUUGCAUGCCUAAUGAUGGUAUCAUUUGAAGAAUUGAUGUCCAUUUUCGUCUUGUGUUGCACAUGCGAUGUGAGAUGAACCUUGAAGCAGCCUUUGUGUUCCACUCUUUCGAUGCACACACAUUGAUUUUGUGGCCCACUAAGUGUUGCUUGGUCUCUUGGAUAUGGAACCUGGUGUGGGCAUGGGAUCUUUACUAGUUCCUUGUUUGCCCUAGUUUAGCUUUUCUAAUACGAUUGUCUAUCAUGUCUUGACGUGGUAGGCUAUAUCGAAUAUGAAUGCUACCU